CCCUUAGAGUUUGAUCCUGGCUCAGGAUGAACGCUAGCGGCAGGCUUAAUACAUGCAAGUCGAGGGGCAGCAGGACGGUAGCAAUACCGUUGCUGGCGACCGGCAAACGGGUGCGGAACACGUACGCAACUUACCCAUAACUGGGGGAUAGCCCGGGGAAACCCGGAUUAAUACCUCGUAACACCUUGAAGUGGCAUCACUUUACGGUUAUAGCUCCGGCGGUUAUGGAUGGGCGUGCGGCUGAUUAGGUAGUUGGCGGGGUAACGGCCCACCAAGCCUGCGAUCAGUAACUGGUGUGAGAGCACGACCAGUCACACGGGCACUGAGACACGGGCCCGACUCCUACGGGAGGCAGCAGUAAGGAAUAUUGGUCAAUGGACGCAAGUCUGAACCAGCCAUGCCGCGUGAAGGAUGAAGGUCCUCUGGAUUGUAAACUUCUUUUAUAUGGGACGAAACCCGGGUAUUCCUACCCGAUUGACGGUACCAUAGGAAUAAGCACCGGCUAACUCCGUGCCAGCAGCCGCGGUAAUACGGAGGGUGCAAGCGUUAUCCGGAUUCACUGGGUUUAAAGGGUGCGUAGGAGGGCAGGUAAGUCAGUGGUGAAAUCUUCGAGCUUAACUCGGAAACUGCCGUUGAUACUAUCUGUCUUGAAUACCGUGGAGGUGAGCGGAAUAUGUCAUGUAGCGGUGAAAUGCUUAGAUAUGACAUAGAACACCGAUUGCGAAGGCAGCUCACUACACGAAUAUUGACUC
rnacentral:rRNA from 1 species